GAUGAACGCUAGCUACAGGCUUAACACAUGCAAGUCGAGGGGCAGCAUAUUGGUAGCUUGCUACCAAUGAUGGCGACCGGCGCACGGGUGAGUAACGCGUAUCCAACCUUCCCCAUAGUAGGGCAUAGCCCGUAGAAAUGCGGAUUAAUACCCUAUGUUUUCCGAAGAUGACAUCUGAUUUGGAACAAAGGUUCACCGCUAUGGGAUGGGGAUGCGUCUGAUUAGGUAGUCGGCGGGGUAACGGCCCACCGAGCCGACGAUCAGUAGGGGUUCUGAGAGGAAGGUCCCCCACAUUGGAACUGAGACACGGUCCAAACUCC
rnacentral:rRNA from 1 species